GCUAGUUCGUUCGUCGUAGCGUAGUGACGGCGGCAUCAAUUUCUGAAUUAAUUACCAUUUGUCGCAAAAACUGCGCGUCCUUUACCUUUUCUAAACUUGGAAAUCUUCAAUUUGUGUUUCGGUUGUGAUAAAUUGUAUUCUAAAUGGCAUCAGAUGAUGAAGUAGAUGGAUCUUUUGCAGGCGACGAGGACGUAGAGGAAGGCGAGGGUCACAAUGAUAACUCCGGCGACAGUGAUGAAGCUCCACCCAAGGAGGAUGACGACUAUUCUCCCGAAGAUGGCAGAAAGAAAAAGAAGGGUAAAAAAAGAAAAGCCAGAGGUGAAGAGAAAAAAGGCAGAAAGAAAAAGAAGAAGCGAAAGAAUGAUAGUGAAGAAGAAGAUGAAUUCGGCCUGGCGGAGGUGGAGGCUGAAGGCGACAGUGACUACGCGCUGAGCGCUGUGUCGUCCAGCAAGAAGUCCCGCAAAGGGCGCGGCAGCAAGCACAACACUUCCACUUCUGUACCUUCUGAUUCAGGAUUUGGUAUGCCCACAGUGGAAGAAGUGUGCACCUCCUUUGGUCUGACGGAUGUUGACAUUCAGUACUCUGAUGCUGACCUGGAGAACUUGACCAGCUACAAGUUGUUCCAACAGCAUGUGCGCCCGCUGAUUGUAAAAGAAAAUCCCAAGGUGCCAGUGUCCAAACUGAUGAUGUUAGUGGCAGCGAAGUGGCGCCUCUUCUGCGAGACGAACCCUCACCUGGACGGCGGCACACAGAACUUGGGCUCGGAGGAGAACACCAACACAUCCACGGCUUCCGACUAUGCGCCAAAGCGUACUGGACGCACUCCUAAAGAAUCGAAGAUUGAAGACUCGAUCGACGAGCCAGAAGAGGAGGAAGACGACGGCAUCAGCGACGAGGGCACGCCGGCGCCCCGCAAGCGCGGCCGCAAGCCAAAGCACGCGGGCGGCACGCCGCGCGGCAAGCCGGGCCGCAAGCCCAAGGUGCCCACGCUCAAGAUCAAGUUCAGCAAGCGCAAACGCACCAGCAGUGAGGAGGAACAAGAAGGUAGCGCAGGAGCCAACUCAGAUUCAGAUGCAGAGUUUGAGCAAAUGCUGGCUGAGGCGGAUGAGCCCAAAGCUGUCUCCAGCAACGCAGAAGAGGCUGGCCAGUCUAAGGACGAUGAUCCUAACACAUCGCAGCAGCAGCCGAAAAAGAAGGCUAAAACCAAAAUUGGUAACAAGACCAAAAAGAAGAAGAAGAUGAAGACCACAAACAAAUUCCCGGACGGCGCAGAAGGAGAACACGAACAUCAGGAUUACUGUGAAGUAUGUCAACAAGGAGGUGAAAUAAUACUCUGUGACACAUGUCCUCGGGCGUACCACUUGGUAUGUUUGGAGCCAGAGUUGGAAGAGACUCCCGAGGGGCGCUGGUCGUGUCCGCACUGCGAGGCUGAAGGCAACCAGGACCAGGAUGAUGAUGAUGAACACCAAGAGUUCUGCAGGAUUUGCAAAGAUGGAGGUGAAUUGCUUUGCUGUGAUUCGUGUCCCUCUGCCUACCACCGAUUCUGUCUCAACCCACCACUAGAAGAAGUGCCGGAUGGAGAGUGGAGAUGCCCUCGAUGUAGCUGUCCACCUCUCGAGGGUAAAGUGGCAAAGAUCUUAACAUGGCGAUGGAAAGAGCACUCUUCCAAGUCGAAAGCGCCGCGUUCCAGAGAGUUCUUUGUCAAAUGGCUCGAGCGAUCAUACUGGCACUGCAGUUGGAUCUCAGAAAUACAGCUGGAUGUGUUCCACCCGCUGAUGUACCGCUACUACAUGCGCAAGUGUGACCCAGAGGAACCGCCCAAACUUGACGAGCUUCUUGAAGAGCGCGAAGGGCUCAAACGGCUCAAAGUCAAGCAAAGCCGGGAACAACAGGACUCCGAUGAAAAGAUGCUCGAGGAGAAAUAUUACAGAUACGGCGUAAAACCAGAGUGGCUAAUAGUCCACAGGGUGAUAAACCAUCGCACGUCUCGCGAUGGCACUACUUAUUAUUUAGUGAAAUGGCGGGACUUGUCCUAUGAUCAGGCCACGUGGGAGUCUGAGAAUGCAGACAUUGCCGGCCUCAAAUACGCCAUUGAGUAUUAUCAGGACAUGCGCGCACACAUCACUUCUGAAGGUAAAUCGAAAGGCAGCAAAGGUAAGAAGCCUGGCCGCAAGAGCAGGAAUAAAGACAAUGUCGAUGACGACGAAAACAAUAGUGGCUUGUUAAGAAAAUAUAAUGCACCGCCAGAUCGCCCCAUCACCAACCUCAACAAGAAGUAUGAAGAUCAACCCGCAUUUGUCUACGAAACUGGAAUGCAGCUGCAUCCGUAUCAAUUAGAAGGUCUGAACUGGUUGCGGUAUUCGUGGGGUAACGGAAUCGACACAAUCCUUGCCGAUGAAAUGGGUCUGGGUAAAACUAUUCAAACUGUAACAUUCCUGUAUUCCCUGUUCAAGGAAGGUCAUUGUAAAGGGCCAUUCUUAGUGUCCGUGCCUCUGUCGACGAUCAUCAAUUGGGAGAGAGAAUUCGAGCUCUGGGCUCCAGAUUUAUACUGCAUCACUUAUGUGGGUGACAAAGAUUCUAGAGCUGUGAUACGGGAAAAUGAGCUCACAUUCGACGAUGGUGCAAAUAGAGGUGGAAGGCCUUCGAAGAUUAAAUCUCAAGUCAAGUUCAAUGUUCUCCUGACAUCAUAUGAACUUAUCUCCAUCGACUCGACAUGCCUCGGUUCCAUUGACUGGGCGGUGCUCGUAGUCGAUGAAGCUCACAGAUUAAAAAGUAACCAGUCAAAGUUCUUUAGGCUUCUAGCCGGGUAUCACAUAAACUAUAAAUUAUUACUCACUGGAACUCCUUUACAAAAUAACCUUGAGGAAUUGUUCCAUCUUUUAAAUUUCUUGAACAAAGAUAAGUUCUGUGAUCUUGCUGCGUUCCAAAACGAAUUUGCAGACGUAUCUAAGGAAGAGCAAGUGAAAAGAUUACACGAAAUGUUGGGGCCGCAUAUGCUGCGGCGUCUCAAGGCUGAUGUAUUGAAAAACAUGCCCACAAAAUCUGAAUUUAUUGUACGUGUCGAAUUAUCGCCAAUGCAGAAGAAAUAUUACAAGUAUAUUUUGACAAGAAAUUUCGAGGCAUUGAAUCCAAAGAGCGGCGGCCAGACCGUAUCUUUACUCAACGUGAUGAUGGACUUAAAGAAAUGUUGCAAUCAUCCUUAUUUGUUCCCCGUGGCAGCUGAGGAGGCACCGCUCGGCCCUCAUGGAAACUAUGAUACACAGGCGUUGGUUAAAGCGUCAGGAAAGCUUGUGCUCAUGUCGAAGAUGUUGAGGCAGUUGAAAGAGCAAGGGCAUAGAGUUCUCAUCUUCUCUCAAAUGACAAAGAUGUUGGACAUUCUCGAAGAUUUCCUGGAGGGCGAGGGGUACAAAUAUGAAAGAAUCGAUGGUGGCAUUACCGGUACGAUACGACAGGAGGCUAUUGAUAGGUUUAAUGCUCCUGGGGCUCAACAAUUCGUUUUCCUUCUAUCGACAAGGGCCGGCGGUUUGGGUAUCAAUUUGGCGACCGCUGAUACUGUUAUUAUUUAUGAUUCCGAUUGGAAUCCACAUAACGACAUUCAGGCGUUUUCGCGAGCUCAUCGUAUCGGUCAAGCGAACAAAGUCAUGAUCUAUCGAUUCGUAACACGCAACAGUGUCGAGGAGCGAGUCACGCAAGUAGCUAAAAGGAAAAUGAUGUUGACUCAUUUGGUCGUGCGUCCGGGUAUGGGCGGAAAAGGGGCUAACUUUACUAAGCAAGAGCUGGAUGAUAUUCUAAGAUUUGGUACAGAAGAGUUAUUUAAAGAAGAAGAGGGCAAAGAGGAAGCCAUUCAUUACGACGACAAAGCUGUUGGAGACUUACUCGAUCGUUCGAAGGAAGGUAUUGAACAAAAGGAAUCUUGGGCCAACGAGUACCUCAGCUCUUUCAAAGUCGCCAAUUAUUCUACCAAAGAAGGAGAUAAUGAGGAAGAAGUCGAUACUGAAAUUAUUAAACAAGAAGCUGAAAAUACUGACCCGGCUUACUGGAUCAAACUGCUUAGACACCAUUAUGAACAGCAUCAAGAAGAUCAGGCCCGAACUCUCGGCAAAGGCAAAAGAGUUCGUAAACAAGUCAACUAUAAUGACGGUAGUGUUGCUCAAACUGAAAAUAGAGAAGAUUCUACUUGGCAAGAAAAUGGAUCAGAUUACAACUCAGAUUUCUCUCAUGGCAGUGAAGAUGAUAAGGAAGAUGACGAUUUCGAUGAAAAGAAUGACAAUGGAGAUCUCCUCAGUCGCCGUAGCAAGAGACGUCUUGAAAGACGAGAAGAAAGAGAUAGACCUCUACCACCUUUACUCGCCAGGGUGGGUGGAAAUAUUGAGGUUCUCGGUUUUAAUGCUCGACAGAGGAAAUCAUUCCUUAACGCAAUCAUGCGUUAUGGUAUGCCGCCACAGGACGCGUUUAAUUCACAAUGGCUAGUGAGAGAUCUCAGAGGAAAAUCAGAACGUAAUUUUAAGGCUUACGUGUCACUGUUUAUGCGACAUUUGUGUGAGCCUGGUGCGGAUAAUGCCGAGACGUUUGCUGACGGCGUCCCACGAGAAGGUUUAUCGAGACAACACGUGUUGACGAGGAUCGGUGUUAUGAGUCUCAUAAGGAAGAAGGUGCAAGAAUUUGAACACAUCAAUGGAUACUACAGUAUGCCUGAGUUGAUUCGAAAACCAGUUGAACCCGUGAAGAUCGCAGGCGGUGAAAGCGCUGCGCCGAGCCCGGCUCCUUCAUCAGCCACGCCCAUAACAUCGGCGGCGCCGUCCCCCGCGCCCACACAAACUACACCUGCCUCUGGUCAGGCACCUACCCCUGGAGGUUCAGAAAAAGAUGAAAAAGAAGACGCGAAAGACGACAAACCGGAAUCCAAAGAUAGCAAAGAUAAGGAAGAACCGAUGGACACGAGUGCCGUUAAAGAGGAAAAGGAGAAACCGGACGACAAAGAACCAGUAAAAGAUGUUAGUGUUAAAGAAGAAGUAAAAGAAGAGAGACGAAUGUCGGUAGAUGAGGAGCCAUCUAAAGACGAGGAUAAAUUAGAUGAAAACAAGACCGAGGAUAAAGAAGCUAAAAUCAAAGAGGAGAAAGAGGAGUUGGAUAAAAAGGAGGACGCUAAGAGUGACAAGACGGAAUCGGAGGGGUCUGACAAGCCCAAAGAUGAGAAAAAAGACGAAGACGAUGAUGACGUCGUACUUGUCAAGGAGGAGGAAGAUUUGAAGGUGGAACGCCGCAAGUUCAUGUUUAACAUCGCGGAUGGAGGUUUCACGGAGUUGCACACUCUGUGGUUGAACGAGGAGAGAGCGGCCGCGCCCGGCAGGGAGUACGAGAUCUGGCACAGGCGGCACGACUACUGGCUGCUGGCUGGCAUCGUGACGCACGGCUACGGACGCUGGCAGGACAUACAGAACGACCUGCGGUUCGCGAUCAUCAACGAGCCCUUCAAGAUGGACGUCGGCAAGGGCAACUUCCUGGAGAUCAAGAACAAGUUCUUAGCGCGGAGAUUUAAGUUGCUGGAACAAGCGCUAGUGAUCGAGGAGCAGCUCCGGCGCGCGGCGUACCUGAACCUCACGCAGGACCCCAACCACCCCGCCAUGUCGCUCAACGCGCGCUUCGCCGAGGUGGAGUGUCUGGCCGAGUCGCACCAGCACCUCAGCAAGGAGUCGCUGGCCGGCAACAAGCCCGCCAACGCUGUGCUGCACAAGGUGAGUGAUGACCCCGCCAUAUCGCUCAACGUGCGCUUCGCCGAGGUGGAGUGUCUGGCCGAGUCGCACCACCUCCACCUCAGCAAGGAGUCGCUGGCCGGCAACAAGCCCGCCAACGCUGUGCUGCACAAGGUGAGUGCUGACCCCGCCAUGUCGCUCAACGCGCGCUUUGCCGAGGUGGAGUGUCUGGCCGAGUCGCACCAGCACCUCAGCAAGGAGUCGCUGGCCGGCAACAAGCCCGCCAACGCUGUGCUGCAUAAGGUGAGUGAUGACCCCGCCAUGUCGCUCAACGCGCGCUUCGCCGAGGUGGAGUGUCUGGCCGAGUCGCACCAGCACCUCAGCAAGGAGUCGCUGGCCGGCAACAAGCCCGCCAACGCUGUGCUGCAUAAGGUGAGUGAUGACCCCGCCAUGUCGCUCAACGCGCGCUUCGCCGAGGUGGAGUGUCUGGCCGAGUCGCACCAGCACCUCAGCAAGGAGUCGCUGGCCGGCAACAAGCCCGCCAACGCGGUGCUGCACAAGGUGAGUGAUGACCCCGCCAUAUCGCUCAACGUGCGCUUCGCCGAGGUGGAGUGUCUGGCCGAGUCGCACCAGCACCUCAGCAAGGAGUCGCUGGCCGGCAACAAGCCCGCCAACGCUGUGCUGCACAAGGUGAGUGAUGACCCCGCCAUGUCGCUCAACGCGCUUCGCCGAGGUGGAGUGUCUGGCCGAGUCGCACCAGCACCUCAGCAAGGAGUCGCUGGCCGGCAACAAGCCCGCCAACGCUGUGCUGCACAAGGUGCUGAACCAGCUGGAGGAGCUGCUGUCGGACAUGAAGUCGGACGUGUCGCGGCUGCCGGCCACGCUGGCGCGCAUCCCGCCCGUGGCGCAGCGCCUGCAGAUGUCGGAGCGGUCCAUCCUGUCGCGCCUCGCCGCCACCGCCGGCAACCCCGUGCCCGCAGCUCAAAUGGCCACGUUCCCCGCCGGGUUCGGUCCGGGCGGCGCUCUGCCGGGCUUCUCUCCGGCCGCCGCCGCCGCCGCCAACUUCACCAACUUCCGCCCGCAGUACUCCGUGCCCGGACAGCCCACCACGCCCAACUCUAACAAAUCGUAAGCCCAUGGAACUUAUUUUUAGCGGAGUUGAAAGCAUGCUGGUAAAUUAAUAUAAUCCUCAUUCCAUUUUUUGACCAGUGAGCAAAUUCAGCAUUGCGCUUAGACGAAUAUUUUAACAUUUUAUAUGCUUCUCAAGAUUCCUGUUCCACCUUGGGUUUGAAGUGAUACAUAGUGAUUAGUGCAGUUAUUUUAGGUAACAUAAUAUUACGUCAUACUAGAGCAGAACUCUCACAAUAUUAUUUAUUUCGUAAUGAUCUGUAUGAAUAAUGUUUUGAUGUCGUAAGUGAUUGUGGACAUGUGAAAUCUUUAUUUUUAAUUUACCAAAAAUGAAAUAAAUCAUACAAUUACGUAAACAAA